rnacentral:rRNA from 1 species
AUUGAACGCUGGCGGCAGGCCUAACACAUGCAAGUCGAACGGUAACAGGAAGAAGCUUGCUUCUUUGCUGACGAGUGGCGGACGGGUGAGUAAUGUCUGGGAAACUGCCUGAUGGAGGGGGAUAACUACUGGAAACGGUAGCUAAUACCGCAUAACGUCGCAAGACCAAAGAGGGGGACCUUCGGGCCUCUUGCCAUCGGAUGUGCCCAGAUGGGAUUAGCUAGUAGGUGGGGUAACGGCUCACCUAGGCGACGAUCCCCAGCUGGUCUGAGAGGAUGACCAGCCACACUGGAACUGAGACACGGUCCAGACUCCUACGGGAGGCAGCAGUGGGGAAUAUUGCACAAUGGGCGCAAGCCUGAUGCAGCCAUGCCGCGUAUAUGAAGAAGGCCUUCGGGUUGUAAAGUACUUUCAGCGGGGAGGAAGGGAGUAAAGUUAAUACCUUUGCUCAUUGACGUUACCCGCAGAAGAAGCACCGGCUAACUCCGUG